GAUGAAGAACGUAGCGAAAUGCGAUAAGUAAUGUGAAUUGCAGAAUUCAGUGAAUCAUCGAAUCUUUGAACGCACAUUGCGCCCGCCAGUAUUCUGGCGGGCAUGCCUGUUCGAGCGUCAUUACAACCCUCAGGCCCCCGGGCCUGGCGUUGGGGAUCGGCGGAGCCCCCCGUGGGCACACGCCGUCCCCCAAAUUCAGUGGCGGUCCCGCCGCAGCUUCCAUCGCGUAGUAGCUAACACCUCGCGACUGGAGAGCGGCGCGGCCACGCCGUAAAACACCCAACUCUUCUGAAGUUGACCUCGAAUCAGGUAGGAAUACCCGCUGAACUUAAGCAUAUCAAUAAGCGGAGGA
rnacentral:misc_RNA from 1 species